rnacentral:lncRNA from 1 species
CGGACCGCAAGCGUCAAGCAUCAAUGCAACCUGAAACCCACCCUCUGAUAUUUAUCCAGUAUUUAUUUCUGCCUUUAGCAUUCAAGUGAUGCAGUAGAUAAUUCAGAAGAAUAUAUGAUCAAAUGCAGCUUUUGAGCUGGGAGGACAGGCAGUGAUAGCAGCUCCUCUGCUGAAAUAACCUUUCGUGAUUUCUUUCCCAGGCUGUUGUCUGCCUUUUCCUUUAGUUCUCCCUUUAAUUUGACUCUGAGCUAUAAAAUACCAACCUCAUUUGCUUUACACUUGUACAGAAAUCCUCAUCUUCAAAGUGUUACAGAAACAUUAAUUAAUCCAUUCUUGCUAUGUGACAGAGCGCAGGAGUGUCCUGGCCCUGACUGAGAGACAAGAGAAUUAAAACUGCAGGAAUGGACUCCUUGGUCCCAGGAGCCCGGAACCACUGUGACAAUUUGCACCCCAUAAACAUGCCAACCACUGGGAAUUUUGUUUUCCAGCACCCAGCUUGCCUUGGAUAGUGGACAGAGGCCCUCUGGCACCAUCAGCAUCCCAUCCUGCCUGCAGAAAGCUCUCCAUCCUCUGUGGCGCUCUCCGUCAGGAAAGUACUUGCACUUUCCAGACAGUGAUGCAGGAAAGGAUGUCACCAACAUCGUGCUUCUGACACACACCCCUGUAACGUGCCGAUACCAGACAACAGUGCUCUGUCAGAACCAAAUCCCCAUUAGGACAGCAGCGAUCUUCCCGAGGCCGCCCCAUCUCGUUUGCAGUGCGUGCUGCCAGGCGGCCGUCACGCUGAGGAGCCCCGGGAUGCUGGUGCUGUGCUGGCCGUGCUCCCACGCAUCAGAGCAGGAGGAUUUGAUGUGGCAUCCUAACAGCCCACAGGAACGUGUGUCAGCAGGAUUUGUGAAAGUGUCAGGUAGGAAAGGGGGGGGGGGCAACGAGACCGGGAGCCCAAGGGGCGUGUGAAGAGUGCAAGGAAGC